rnacentral:lncRNA from 1 species
AGAUGCUGAAAGUAUGUAUCUUAGAGCCAAAAUACUGUUCUUCUUUCUUUUUUGUAUGUCAUGCAUAUAUCUUUUCGCUUUGUCACUACGAGAUAUUGAACAAAAUGAACCAAAAAUUGCUAGAUUUAUAUAUCCUUGCGACAGAACAUUGGAAGGAAGACGAAGAAUUUGGACAAGUCCGCCAGUGGUUGUAGCUGAUUUCAGUUUAAUUUUCUUUUGGAAUGCUAAGUCUGAGUCAACUUAUUGGAAGAGAUUACUACAAAUUAUACAAAGGAUAAACUGCAAAUACGCAUUUAUGGGAUUAAAAUAUGUACACAAUCAAAAUGAAAUCAUAAAAUUUAUAAAAAACGAUUCAUGGAUAAAAGCGACUUUCGUUAGAGAACCUAGGGAACGUAUUUUAUCUUCAUAUUUAGGUGUCGGAAAGGACGACCUUCAUAUGAAUUGUUCUUGUGGAAGAACCGUUAGUUCAUUUUUAGAAUUUGUAGAAGUUAUUAAACAAUGCAAAGAUAGACACUGGACACCACAAGUUAAUUUACCAAAACAAUUUUACAAGAAUAUGAUGAUCGGGAAAAUGUCAAAUAUUUCAACAUUUACUGAACUAUUAUUGAGAAGAAUAGGUGUUUGGAAUGAAACAAUUAAAACUUUUCUUGGAUCAAAACGAAUGUACAGUUUGACACAAUCCCAUGCUAAAAACGCUACACAAAAGUUGCUCAAUUAUUACAAUACAACUGAACUACAGAAUUCGAUUUUUCACAUGUUUGCAGAAG